rnacentral:rRNA from 1 species
UACGGGGGUAGCAAGCGUUGUUCGGAUUUACUGGGCGUAAAGGGCGCGUAGGCGGUCGUGACAAGUCACUUGUGAAAUCUCCGGGCUUAACUCGGAACGGUCAAGUGAUACUGUCGGACUAGAGUACAGAAGGGGCAACUGGAAUUCUCGGUGUAGCGGUGAAAUGCGUAGAUAUCGAGAGGAACACCUGCGGCGAAGGCGGGUUGCUGGGCUGAUACUGACGCUGAGGCGCGAAAGCCAGGGGAGCGAACGGG